GGGCUGGCUGCUGAGAUUCGUAUUUCCACGUGUGGCACAAGAAGUGCUGGCAGCUCCCAGGUGAGCAGGGAUGCUCCUGGCAGCACCAGCCCCUUCCACGGUCCUCACACACUCAGGGCCGUUCACCGAGCCGAUGACACAGGCAUUGCUUCACAGUGGUCAGAGCCUUUGGCUCAUAAAAUAGGAGCUUCGGUUUCCUGCCUUUCAUCAAGUCAGGAGCCCUUCAGAUCCAGCUCAUUGAAGAAGAUAACAUCUCUUGGCGCGCGUUCUUUCCUCACUUGUGGAUGGAUUGAAAGUUACCUCCACUGCCCGUCCCAAUCUGUUGGAAAAGGCACAGACCUGGUGAGAGCCAGUGCCUGGCAAAGCAGCUCAGGACAGAUCUGGUCACAGACAUCAGCCUCCUCAGACCAGCAUAGCAAGGAAGAGGCAGCUUUUGGCUUUCCAGACCUCUGCAGGACUCAGCUAAAAACAGAGUUCAGAGGACCUCACACUUUGUCCUGUGAGCAGCAGUCAAAAGCUUUGAUGUACACUUUCACAUGUGAGAGAGGGCAUAACCACCCUGCAUUCAGUGAAGCCAAGGAUAUGCAAAGUCUGCUGCUGGGAGAAGAAAGUUGUUCCAAAGCAGAGAAGACAGGCAGUUAUUAUUCUGUCUAUACAGGACUAAUUAAAUAACCCCAUGUCUGCAAACCGUAACUUGAAAAUGUUCCCUGUCACAAAAUGUGCCAGCCCAUAGCUACACAAAAUAGAGAAAACCUAUUAUGAGUGACUAAAACCAUUGGAAACUGUGGAAAUAUUGCCUCAGGCUGCAAGGUCCUUUCCUGUGGAAAGAAAAUUUUGCAGUUGUCUAUUAAUACUGUUCAUGGCUAAGAAUGAGUGCUCAAGCGCUCUGGGUUUCAUCAAAGGGGUUUUCAUAUAGGCUGUUCUGAAGUGAAUACAAAAGGAGAAAAUUUCCUUCCUCAUUAUUCUGAUGUUUUCCUACCUCCCCCUCCUCUCCCACCUUGUGCAUCAGGAACUGGGGAGAGUGAGAACCUAAAGAGCAGAACAUCAGUGUGCAGGGACAAGCAGCCAUGUGGCAUGGAGGACCAUCACUGGAUUCUCUAGGUAAAGACAGAUUUCUGGACUAAGAAACAUAAGGAGGUGCUAUGAGAACACUGGUUCCAUGCAGAAACAGCCCAGGCUACACCCUACUGCUAAUGGAAGGAGUUACAUGCAAUGGCUGCCUGAGACAGCAGGCCCUCAUCUGGGGGCUGCACAAACAGCCUCCUUCAAAACAAGGCAAGGGCGCUUUUGUCUUCCUGUUCAGAGCUGGCUGGGUUGGGUAACCCAAGCAAUGAAGGCCACCUCCACAUCCUCAAGGAUGCAGUGAGGGUGCUGUGCUCAGGGUGCAGGAACACCUGGUCUGCAUGUGCUGGCUGUGGGGAGCUCUGUCCUUUGGAAUGCACCAAAGCCCCAUGCUCAGAGUGAGUCAUUUAUGACUGCAAAGUCCCAGACAAAACAGAUGAGCUCAGCAGGCAGAGGGCAGGCCCACGAACAUCUGUUUGUAGCCAUCCCACGUGUUAAAAUGGCACUGCUGUGCUCUGGCAUCUUAAUGGUUUGGUAUUAGGACAAAGCCACACAGCAAGCAGUUAAACAGUUUUCUUAUCUCACGGAGCAAUUAAAUGUAUCUGUGGCUCCUGCUGUGUACAUUGUAAGGGUAGUUAGGGAAAACAUACUUGAAAUAAAGAGCCUUGCCAGUUUAAAUUUGAGAUAUUAUUAGUGUUUAACCGAGAGGGAAGCGCUGGCCUUCUGCACCUUAUGCAUCCCACUGGAGCUGCACAUGACCCCAUCCUUGGCUUCCCACCCAGCUGAGCCACGGCCAUAGCCAAGCCCUGAGGCACCGGGUGCUGCCGGCCCUUGGCUAAACAGCACUGCCCAGAGCAGCUGCCCUGUCUGAGGUCUGCCAGGCACAGCUCUGCUCACCCCCACUGCUACCAGGCCCCUCAGUGGCCGUUUGGGUUUGAUCAGCAAAAAUGACUUUUUACUGCACCCAAACUAAACCUGCUCCUUGAAGCUACUGAGAGGGCAGCCGUGAUCAAAGGCGAACGGGGAUGCUGCUGGUGGAAACAGCUAGCAGUGGUGUGCAGACACGGGGAUGGCGUAGACUGGGGUGAAGAUGAAGAAGACACCGUGGCACCUCCUGUGGUCCAUUGUUCAGGACUUCAAAGGGCCGGAGAUCUGCAGCAGUGCUACUAGCUGCUAUCUUCCAGCAGCAGCGAUUAUGGGCUGAAUGAGGCUCAGAGACAGUGACUGCAAAGGGCUAGGAAAGCUGCUCCUUUUUGGUUCAUUUCCCUGAUUGCCUGUGUUUCCAUUAUAUCCGCCCCUCCAGUCUUCUAAUCCUCCGAGCUGAUCUAUCGCCAUGAAUAUUCACAGUCUAUGGCACACUUAUUACUGCUGCCUGGAUGUCCCGAAGCUGCUAUCAAUCAUGCCUUAAUCUUGCAUGCAGCUCCCGGGACUUCAUCUAAAAUGCAGAUGGGAAACAUGGAAAAUGUAAAGAACCAGGAGAAGAAAAAGUUAGUCAGUAAAUGCUGAAGUAGGGGUUCCUGGUUCAGUUUCCUAUUGAUUUUCACAUUACUGAUACUGGAGUAGCAACUGAUCUGGCAGCAUUUGCUGAAAGGCUGCACCUCUAGCAUUGUCCCAUCCCUUGCACAGGAGCUGUUCCGUCCCCCAGCCAUCGUCACAUCACAGCCCUGCUCUCCCUGCACUGCUUCCGUGCCCUUUCCCAGAGACAGCAGCACGGUGGGGCCGGGCUGGUUGUUGUACAGCAGAUGUUGCCCUGCAAACAUGAAUCCUCAUUGCUGCUGGACUGCUUAAAAUUGGAGGGGGAGUUUGGUGCAGGUGGGAGGACUGAGCAGGAACAGAAGAAUGUGCAGCUGGCUUUUGGGUACAAAUCAUUGUACAUACAGUGACUUGCUUUCCUAUUUUGAGGGCAAGCUGACCUUUAACUGCUGCUUGUUCAAUACUGUGUUAGUACAGCUCAGUGGCUGCGCCGUGCGCCUCAUGAGCCACUCAGCGAUGCUGGGGCGUGCCGUAAGGGUGGCUGGUGGCACACAGAUGCGGGAAUUUGCCGAUGUAUAGAGUGCAAGCAGGCAACGUGGCACUCCCAGGCUGCCAGGGCAGGUCUGCUCUGCUGUUCAGCUCCCGCACACACUGAGCUGCUCCUGUCCCUGCGUGCCGCCCCGCUCGUGGGACCAGCAGCGUGACAAAAGCCAUCCUCAGACAGGAGGGGAGGGCUGAGUCGCACCAAACAGCCCCGGUGCUCAGCGCAGGCUGCGAGAACCGGAGGGUGUUCCCUGAAGCAGGGACAUUAAUCACCGCUGUUUUACACAUCACUUUGUUCGCAUUUCUUCUUCUACAUAAAAAGGCUAAGAAGCCUUUUGUCAUCAAAUGACGGGGAGGAACAAUAGCUUCGCUCGCUCCGUCCCCGCCCCGCAGAGGCUGAAUCACCACCGCAAGGCACAUCAUCCCCGGCCCGCAGCUCAGCUCCUGCAUCCCGGUGACUCACUGAGGAGCGGAGAUGGGAGCGGAAGCGGCCGCCACAGCCCCCCCGAAGCAGCCGUGAACUGAGUGCUGAUCUGCGGCGGGCGUCGGUGGGGCAGGGGCGGCGAGGGACGGUGGGGCUGAGGAUGAUGCACAGCCGUGAGUGGAGCUGUGCGGGACACAGGGGGCACAGGCAGCCCCUGACUGGCAGCUCUGGGCAUUCAGUGCUAAUGUUGGGCCGAAGAGCCUCAUCUCAGGGCUUGGAUGUCGCCUUAGCCCCCUUUGCCAGCCCAGCUUUGCAGUUAGCAGGGGGCUCCCGUGCCCAAGACACCGCGGGAGCCGUGUGAGCACCCGGUCAUCCCGGGGCUUUGGCUCUGCCCGGCUUCUCUCCAGCACAGGGCGGUGGUGGGAAGGCAGCCGGUGCCGCGGGCUGCUCUGCUGUAAAUGAAGCAGUGCAAGAGAAGGUCAGAGCAUUAGCUCAUCGCUAACAGAAAAGUUCAGGCAAUUAAGCUUUAAGACACAUUGGAGGGUACUGGCAGUGAUUACAAAUGUCAGAAAAACAUUUUAUGGCAAUAAAUAACAAAUGAACACAGACUUUUACCAGGCUCUUGAAGCCUGGAGGAAAACAAGGUCUUUUAUUAUAUUUUUCUUAGGAACUUUCCCUCUUCAAAGGCAGUCAGCAAAUGCUAGCCAUUGUAGGAAGGAGACUGUCUUACUCCACCAUCUCCGAAUAGUCAAUUCCAUCCCCUUAGAGAACAGGCUUGCUCAGAGAUCUUACAAACAGACCAGCAAGUGAGCAGGAACGGCAAGCUGCUGCUGCCCAAAGGGCGGUGUGGGCAUUACAGAAGUGCUGGGCUGCGGGUGGUUGGAGCUUAGCAGAGCUGGCUGUAAAGCUUCACCUCGAAGUAUUGCGUGCUGC
rnacentral:lncRNA from 1 species